UACGGAGGGUGCGAGCGUUAAUCGGAAUAACUGGGCGUAAAGGGCACGCAGGCGGACUUUUAAGUGAGGGGUGAAAUCCCCGGGCUUAACCUGGGAACUGCAUUUGAUACUGGGAGUCUUGAGUACUUUAGAGGGAAGUGGAAUUCGACGUGUAGCGGUGAAAUGCUUAGAGAUGUGAAGGAACACCGAAUGCGAAGGCAGC
rnacentral:rRNA from 1 species